rnacentral:tRNA from 1 species
AGGGGUGUCGUCAAGCGGCAAGACACAGGCUUUUGAUGCCUGCAUUCGUAGGUUCGAAUCCUACCGCCCCUGCCA